rnacentral:rRNA from 1 species
GAUGAACGCUGGCGGCGUGCCUAAUACAUGCAAGUCGAGCGAACGGACGAGAAGCUUGCUUCUCUGAUGUUAGCGGCGGACGGGUGAGUAACACGUGGAUAACCUACCUAUAAGACUGGGAUAACUUCGGGAAACCGGAGCUAAUACCGGAUGAUAUUUUGAACCGCAUGGUUCAAAAGUGAAAGACGGUCUUGCUGUCACUUAUAGAUGGAUCCGCGCUGCAUUAGCUAGUUGGUAAGGUAACGGCUUACCAAGGCAACGAUGCAUAGCCGACCUGAGAGGGGGGCCGCCACCCCUGACCCGAGACCCGGCCCCAGCCCCCGGGGGGGGGACGCAGGAGGAAAUUUCCCGCAUGGGGCAAAGCCCUGCCGGCGCACCGCGGGGGGAUUAAGAAUGGUCUUCGGUCGUAAAAACUUUUUUAUGGGGAAAAAAAAUUUGUGAAAGAACCUGUACACUUCUUGAGGUUCCCUAACAAAAAGCCCCCGCCUAGCUCGGGC